AGGAAGAAUCAGUCAACAAAGGCCAAGAGACUUGCCCAAUCAGACCCCUUGCCAGUACACUGACACUUAGGGACUAAGGGUGACAGUUAUGGAGUACAGUCAAUUUUGGAUUGAAAUUAAGUAAGGCUUAGUACCAGAGAGGACAGUUAAAUCUGUACUCCGCCAGUGUUAGGGAAGUGUAGACCAAAGCAGAAUGGUGAGGUUUAACCAUAGCGAUAUUACAGGGUGGUUGCUAUGGUGUUUCUAGGUGAUACUACAAGGAGUGUGGCUAUGCUACUGCACCAUGGUAAUAAAGUAGACUUGGGCCAUAUACCAUAUACCGAGGUAUUUGGAAAUGGCCAUGGGAUUUUUAUUCAAUACCGUCAAUAUCGUUUAAACUAUUUCUUUAAAUAAAUGUGAAUAUUUGUAGCUACUUUAAGUAAAUACCUGCAGUCAACUUGUGCAAUACAUUAAGAGAUAAAGUAGAUUGAGUUCUUCAUUUUACCUGUCACAUUAUUAUGAAGCUUACAGUAGUCUCCAGUCACAUGUCACGUGGCGUUUGUUUACAAGCACACAGCGACAAGAGACCAGAGCCUUGUGAGUCACUCACUGAGCAGCACUUGCCAGGUAAUCAAAUCAAAUACAUUUUUAUUUGUCACAUGCGCUGAAUACAACAGGUCUAGACCUGACAGUGAAAUGCUUUCUUACAGGCCCUUAAGCAACAAUGCAGUUUCAAGAAAAAUACCUAAAACAAUAAAGAGAAGCAGUAAAUAACAACAGCGAGGCUUUAUACAGGGGGUACUGGUACAGAGUCAAUGUGGAGGCUAUAUACAGGGGGUACUGGUACAGAGUCAAUGUGGAGGCUAUAUACAGGGGGUACUGGUACAGAGUCAAUGUGGAGGCUAUAUACAGGGGGUACCGGUACAGAGUCAAUGUGGAGGCUAUAUACAGGGGGUACUGGUACAGAGUCAAUGUGGAGGCUAUAUACAGGGGGUACUGGUACAGAGUCAAUGUGGAGGCUAUAUACAGGGGGUACUGGUACAGAGUCAAUGUGGAGGCUAUAUACAGGGGGUACUGGUACAGAGUCAAUGUGGAGGCUAUAUACAGGGGGUACCGGUACAGAGUCAAUGUGGAGGCUAUAUACAGGGGGUACUGGUACAGAGUCAAUGUGGAGGCUAUAUACAGGGGGUACUGGUACAGAGUCAAUGUGGAGGCUAUAUACAGGGGGUACUGGUACAGAGUCAAUGUGGAGGCUAUAUACAGGGGGUACUGGUACAGAGUCAAUGUGGAGGCUAUAUACAGGGGGUACUGGUACAGAGUCAAUGUGGAGGCUAUAUACAGGGGGUACUGGUACAGAGUCAAUGUGGAGGCUAUAUACAGGGGGUACUGGUACAGAGUCAAUGUGGAGGCUAUAUACAGGGGGUACUGGUACAGAGUCAAUGUGGAGGCUAUAUACAGGGGGUACUGGUACAGAGUCAAUGUGGAGGCUAUAUACAGGGGGUACCGGUACAGAGUCAAUGUGGAGGCUAUAUACAGGGGGUACCGGUACAGAGUCAAUGUGGAGGCUAUAUACAGGGGUUACCGGUACAGAGUCAAU